rnacentral:rRNA from 1 species
CCUACGGGAGGCAGCAGUGGGGAAUUUUGGACAAUGGGCGCAAGCCUGAUCCAGCAAUGCCGCGUGCAGGACGAAGGCCUUCGGGUUGUAAACUGCUUUUGUACGGAGCGAAAAGGCUCUCUCUAAUACAGGGAGUUCAUGACGGUACCGUAAGAAUAAGCACCGGCUAACUACGUGCCAGCAGCCGCGGUAAUACGUAGGGUGCAAGCGUUAAUCGGAAUUACUGGGCGUAAAGCGUGCGCAGGCGGUUAUGUAAGACAGAGGUGAAAUCCCCGGGCUCAACCUGGGAACUGCCUUUGUGACUGCAUAGCUAGAGUACGGCAGAGGGGGAUGGAAUUCCGCGUGUAGCAGUGAAAUGCGUAGAUAUGCGGAGGAACACCGAUGGCGAAGGCAAUCCCCUGGGCCUGUACUGACGCUCAUGCACGAAAGCGUGGGGAGCAAACAGGAUUAGAUACCCUGGUAGUCCACGCCCUAAACGAUGUCAACUGGUUGUUGGGUCUUCACUGACUCAGUAACGAAGCUAACGCGUGAAGUUGACCGCCUGGGGAGUACGGCCGCAAGGUUGAAACUCAAAUGAAUUGACGG